rnacentral:rRNA from 1 species
CCUACGGGUGACAGCAGUCGAGAAUCAUUCACAAUGGGGGAAACCCUGAUGGUGCGACGCCGCGUGGGGGAAUGAAGGUCUUCGGAUUGUAAACCCCUGUCAUGUGGGAGCAAAUUAAAAAGAUAGUACCACAAGAGGAAGAGACGGCUAACUCUGUGCCAGCAGCCGCGGUAAUACAGAGGUCUCAAGCGUUGUUCGGAAUCACUGGGCGUAAGGGGUGCGUAGGCGGUUUCGUAAGUCGUGCGGGAAAGGCGCGGGCUCAACCGGCGGACGGCACAUGAUACUGCGAGACUAGAGUAAUGGAGGGGGAACCGGAAUUCGCGGUGUAGCAGUGAAAUGCGUAGAUAUCGAGAGGAACACUCGUGGCGAAGGCGGGUUCCUGGACAUUAACUGACGCUGAGGCACGAAGGCCAGGGGAGCGAAAGGGAUUAGAUACCCUUGUAGUC